AACAGAAACAUUUAAAAUUGGUUCAAAUAAAGAAUUUAGGCGACAAUUAAUGACAGAACAAAAUAAUAAAACUACAAUAAAUAUACUCCAAAAGUUAACACCAACAAUUAACACAAAAAUCAUAUAAUCACAUAUUAAUCAUUGUUGUAUCAAUCAUUCCCAAAAAAUAAUUACAUACUAUAACAACAAAGUAACGUUAAUAUACAAGUGAAACAUUAAACAACGACAUGUAUCCACAAAAAGCUGAAUUAUAAAACACAUAAAACAAUCAGUCGAAAAAGAGAGCUUGACAAAUUCUUAUGUGAUACAUGAGAAAUCAAUAUGCUAAGAAACAAUUAACCGGCUGGUUAGAAGCGUUAAUCCAACAAUAUAAAAAAAAAUGAAAUCCUACUAUCAAUUACAUUACAUUAAAAAAACUAUCAAUUACAACACAUUUAAAAAUGAGAAAUCAAAAAACUACUAUACUUUUAUAGUAGGAGCAAAAUUCUACAAACAAUAAGUUGUAUCCGGUGGUUUAGAAGAAUAUGAACUUCAAAAAUAUAAAUAUCAUAUUUAAAUACAAUACAUAACUGUACAUGGACAUUAACUUUAGAAGAAAAUAAAAUGUUACAUUUAUUGAUUUCAAAAAUGUAUUUUCUCAUAUACAUAAAUAUGUUAUAGUAUUCUUGCAACCAGAAACAUAUAUUAUUCAAAUAAAAAUAAUACUCUUUGUUAAAAUAUAUAUAUCUCCUCUUUAUAAAUAAGUGUAUGUUCUUUAUUCACCAAAAGAUAAAAAUUUAAAACGAAAAGGAUAAACGAAUAUCUGACACAUGAGAGAAAAUGAUUACAAAUAAUAAUACAUUGCAAACCAAUAUUACAACAAAGACACACACAAAAUCUAAUUUAAUUUACCACCUACUACAUAUUUUAAAACCCAUCGAAAAUAGUGAAUAAAAAUUAGUAUUCACCUGCAAAAGAGGGUGUGACUUCUUUUUGUUUCCAUUAGUUAGCGCUAAAUUUAUAUAUAAAUACACUUAAAUCAAACAUUAGUUACAUGAAAAUGGCUAUAUGUUACAUAUCAAAUUUCUUUUUGUAUUCGCUCCUCUAUGACAUAAAAGAUAAGCUGAUUUCAACACCAUCCUCAGUGUGUUCAUAAAAUAUAGACAUAUCAUAAGACCAAAGCUAAGUGGUGCAUAUACCAAAUUUUUUAAAAUUUCUAAAUUUAUAGAAAACAAAAACGUAAAAAAAAUAAUAGAAAACUGCUAAAGAUACUAUUAAACAUUAAAAUUAAAUUUAAUACAAAGUAAAAAUAUUCACAUAUUAAUAAUAAUUAUGAAUAAUAUAUUUAAAAUUUAUAAUCCGCGCGUAGCGCGGACAGAGGAUCUAGUAGCACUUAAUUAAUGCUAUUUUAAGAAUUACGUGAGCGGGAAAAAUAAAAUCAUCAUUUCACCAAUACUUAGCAGAAAUUUAGAUUUAAGCGCCAAAAAUAUUAUUUAAGCGGCUUAAUAAAACUACGAAAGACUUAUAAUAGCAUUUUUAUAAUGCUAAGAAAAGCUAUUUGAACCCCUAAACCUUAAACGUGGUUUUAAACCCUAAACACAACCCUUAAAACUAUAAUCUUUUUAUAUUAUAACUUCAAAUCUUAAAAUUAAACUUAAAAUUUAAUCUUCUUGAUCUAACUAUAAUUUCCUAACCACAUAUCCUUAAUCUUUAAUCAAUCUCUAUAUCCUAAAUCAUAACUUCAAACAUAAAUUAUACAUUCUGUGUAAACAUACAACUUUUUAAAUGAUGACCAAAAUGAUAAUCUUGAUAUUAAUCUAAUAUUUCCAAACUUAAAUAUUAAUUCUUAAAAUAAAUAUCAAUUUAUUAUGUUAAAAAAUAACUUUAAACUUAAAUUCCAAAGUACAAAAUAUACAUUUUGAAAUAAGAUAUAAGUAAGAAAAAUUAUUUACAAAACAAAUCAUCAAAGAUUGAAGGAAAGAAAAAGACAAUUUAUAAAGAGUAUUUUCUUGCUACGAUUUAGCUACGAAAUUUUUUGUAGGUCUUUAUAAAAUAGCCACGAAAUGCCACGAUUUUUUUUGUACAUGCUUAAAACCCUAAACCCUAAAAUUCUUUUAAACCCUAAAUAUAAACCUUAAAACUCUAUUAUUUUUCAUAAUUUAACUUAAAUUUUAAAAUUAAAUUCAUAAUUUAAUUUCAAAUCACAAGUUAAACCCCAAAUACUAUAUUCCAACUCCUAAACUAUAAACAUAAACACUAUACCCCAAAUCAUAAAUCUAAACAUAAAAUCUUAUAUUUAAAAAUUUAAAAUAUUAAACUUUACUUUUAGAUCUUAUCUUCAACCCAAAUCCCCUUACUCAAAACUUUAUAUUCCAUAUACACUAAACUUUACUAUACAUACAAUACUCUAAAUAUAAACUUCAAAACUAAAAUUUGAAAAAUUUAACUACAAAUCUUAGACCUAAUAUUCAAAUCUAAUAUUUUCAUACUCUGAUCCAAAAUCUUAAAUCAUAGUCUUGAUAUUAAUCAAAUAUUUUCAAACUUAAACAUCAAUUCUUAAAAUAAAUAUAAACUUAUUAUGUUCAAAAAAGAAAACUCUAAACUUAAAUUAUAAACUCGAAAAUACAAAAUUUUAUAUAAGAUAUAACUAAGAAAAUUUACUUAGAAAACAAAUUAUCAAAUAUUUAAGAACAAAACAAAAAUAGAAAUAGAAAAAGAAAGACAAAAUUUCUGGCCAAUCAGAUUCAAAUACAUAGAUCACACUCUUAACCAUUGGAUUAACUUAGAUCUAAAAGUAGAGAUUUAUUCAAUUUUUCUUUUUUUUUCUUCUCUCUCUCCCUCCCUCUCUCACGACAGAUCUCAUAUCAUCUCCUUCUCUGCUUUUUUUUUCCCCAUUCUCUCUUCUCCACUCUAACCUCUCAUUCUCAUAUCUCAUAUAUCUCUUCUCUCUCAUCUCUCUCAACGCCUCUCUCCCAUCUCUCUCAACGCCUCUCUCGUCUCACCACCACCGCGUCUCCUUCUCGUCUCACCACCACCGCGUCUCCUCCUCGUCUCACCACCACCGCGUCUCCUUCUCGUCUCACCACCACCGCGUCUCCUCCUCGUCUCACCACCACUGUUUUCCCCUUGUCUCACCACCACCACGGUCGACGUGGAGGAGCCAAGGUUCAUGGCGGCCGGAGGAAGCAAGGUUCAUGGCGGCUUGAGUAUACAAGUCUCGUGGCGGCUGGAGGAAUCAAAGUUCAGGGCUGCUGGAAGAGGGACAAGGAUAUGGAGGAGGCGGCAGGAGUUUUUUCUUUAGGUUUAGGUUUUUUAGGUCUGGUUAAGUGUCCUAAAUUGUAGUGGUCUGAUUUUAUUUUUUAAUUUCUGGUUUAGUUUUGUAAACCAGAAUUAAUCUGUAAACCAAAUUUAAUUUAUUAAUAAAAUUUAUUUUAUUUUCA